GAUGAACGCUGGCGGCGUGCCUAAUACAUGCAAGUCGAGCGAACGGACGAGAAGCUUGCUUCUCUGAUGUUAGCGGCGGACGGGUGAGUAACACGUGGAUAACCUACCUAUAAGACUGGGAUAACUUCGGGAAACCGGAGCUAAUACCGGAUAAUAUUUUGAACCGCAUGGUUCAAAAGUGAAAGACGGUCUUGCUGUCACUUAUAGAUGGAUCCGCGCUGCAUUAGCUAGUUGGUAAGGUAACGGCUUACCAAGGCAACGAUGCAUAGCCGACCUGAGAGGGUGGUCGGGCACACUGGAACUGAGACACGGUCCAGACUCCUGCGGGAGGCAGCAGUAGGGAAUCUUCCGCAAUGGGCGAAAGCCUGACGGAGCAACGCCGCGUGAGUGAUGAAGGUCUUCGGAUCGUAAAACUCUGUUAUUAGGGAAGAACAUAUGUGUAAGUAACUGUGCACAUCUUGACGGUACCUAAUCAGAAAGCCACGGCUAACUACGU
rnacentral:rRNA from 1 species